GAUGAACGCUGGCGGCGUGCCUAAUACAUGCAAGUCGAGCGAACAGACGAGGAGCUUGCUCCUCUGACGUUAGCGGCGGACGGGUGAGUAACACGUGGAUAACCUACCUAUAAGACUGGGAUAACUUCGGGAAACCGGAGCUAAUACCGGAUAAUAUAUUGAACCGCAUGGUUCAAUAGUGAAAGACGGUUUUGCUGUCACUUAUAGAUGGAUCCGCGCCGCAUUAGCUAGUUGGUAAGGUAACGGCUUACCAAGGCAACGAUGCGUAGCCGACCUGAGAGGGUGAUCGGCCACACUGGAACUGAGACACGGUACAGACUCCUACGGGAGGCAGCAGUAGGGAAUCUUCCGCAAUGGGCGAAAGCUUGACGGGGCAACGCCGCGUGAGUGAUGAAGGUCUUCGGAUCGUAAAACUCUGUUAUUAGGGAAGAACAAAUGUGUAAGUAACUAUGCACGUCUUGACGGUACCUAAUCAGAAAGCCACGGCUAACUACGUG
rnacentral:rRNA from 1 species